UGGGCCGGUGUUUCGGUUUAACUGGUUUUUAAGUUAACUGGUGAUAGAGGCAGAUGUGGUGUAGGUGUGCCAUGAGAAACUCCGCAGAAAUGAUUACGUAGGUAGCUGCAGUGAUGCCUGUUUGAAAUACUGCAAACGUCAAUAAAUCGUCAAAAUGUUCAUGCUGUCAUUAUUUGUGUCAUAAUUGUGUUUAAAGUGUUGGUAAUGACGUUUAUUUAAACCUUCUGAAGUGUUUGCUGACUCUGCAGAUGGAACACAAAUAAAGACCGCUGAAAUAAGCAGAACAGCGCUCAGUGCGCUCCGAUUAACUUGUGUCACAACAAGUACUAGCAUCGGUCAUAGGCUCAUAUCGAUUCAUUUACACUUACAAAUACCUAAUAUUUAACAUGGGCAACACAACAGCUGUGUUGUAGAAAAUAAAACCAAAGUUUCCACACGUCAACAUGGUGCACAAAUUCAAACUCAAUAUGCAAUGUAAGAUCUAGGUCGUGUUAAAGGAAAUACAUUGACUCAAUGCUAAACGUCAUUACCAUUACUUUAAACACAAUUAUGACACAAAUAAUGACAGCAUGAACAUUUUGUCGAUUUAUUGACGUUUGCAGUAUUUCAAACAGGCAUCACUGCAGCUACCUACGUUGUGGUCUUCGUUCUUGCAACGGCAUCACAAGUUAAUUUAAUAACAGUAGGCCUACUACAACAUGGAUUACGUGUUUGAUAUCUGUUACAUUUCAAUACAGCCUAUAGGACAGCUAGGUGAGAAAGGGGAGACAGAGGGAAGACAUGCAGGACACCGCCACAGGUUGGACCCUAACCCCGGACCUUUGUGUCGAGGCACAGACCUUCAAGCAGAUGCGAGCCCGCUCCACCCACCGAACCAACCCGGCCACGAAGAUCAAGACUUUCAAUUAGAAAUCCGAUUUUAUGCUUGCCCUCUAGUGUCACAAAGUGGAAGGCUUGAAAAGGUUGAUACAUCAGUGUCACCGCUAUCACACUGCGUGACCCUGUCUGUCUGAAUACUAUGUGAGCUUCAUGUUUGGUAACAGCUAUCAAUAUGUGUAUACAUAUGCUUUGGCUGAGUUACAACACACCAUGUAACACACAAUACCAUCUUUUCUGUAUAUAUAAGAUAAUUAUAAUAAAAUACUGAAGUCAUAAACACAAAAUUGGUAGACUCAGGCUGUCUGCGGGGCUGGCGU